rnacentral:lncRNA from 1 species
AGAAAAAGGAAGGAUGUCUCAUGCGCGCGUAGAAGCAUCGCAUCUCUCCUUGAUUUGGAGAGUCCUUCUCCUAAUCAAAAUGCUUCUAAAUUGGAACAAUUUUUAGUGACAAUGUUCCACAUUUUAUGAUAUAUUUUUGGUAAUUUUUUUGGAAUUUUUUCAGACUUAUUAGAUGGCCAAAUAGACACUAGAAUCUUCCUCACGUUUGCAAGCAUGCGGUGAUCAGACUUCAUGUGAAAGGGUGCG